rnacentral:rRNA from 1 species
CCUACGGGGGGCAGCAGUGAGGAAUAUUGGUCAAUGGGCGCUAGCCUGAACCAGCCAAGUAGCGUGAAGGAUGACUGCCCUAUGGGUUGUAAACUUCUUUUAUAUGGGAAUAAAGUGCAGUAUGUAUACUGCUUUGCAUGUACCUUAUGAAUAAGGAUCGGCUAACUCCGUGCCAGCAGCCGCGGUAAUACGGAGGAUCCGAGCGUUAUCCGGAUUUAUUGGGUUUAAGGGGAGCGUAGGCGGGUUGUUAAGUCAGUUGUGAAAGUUUGCGGCUCAACCGUAAAAUUGCAGUUGAUACUGGCAGCCUUGAGUACAGUAGAGGUAGGCGGAAUUCGUGGUGUAGCGGGGAAAUGCUUAGAUAUCACGAAGAACUCCGAUUGCGAAGGCAGCCUGCUGGACUGUAACUGACACUGAUGCUCGAAAGUGUGGGUAUCAAACAGGAUUAGAUACCCUGGUAGUC